AAGAUAAUUCAACAUCAAUUUAACAAUUAUUUCGUACUCAAAUCAUCAAUACCCAUAUGACUAGAAAGGAAUAGCAAGAAACAUAUCAUUCAUCACACACACAAUUAAACAUACUAAAUAGCUCCCCUUACCUUGAAAUUUCUUUUCUCAGCUCAAAGACCCGCAGCUACAGUACCCCCACACGCGAAUAAUCUAGACGGUAAUUACGGGGUUUUGUCAAAACCGACGAAAGUACCAGGGGUUUUCUCAAAACCACCAUACUAGCGAGGUUUUUUCAAAACUGCUGGAAAUGUCUACAAUUCUAUUUUUUUUAGUUUUUUAUUGUAAUAAAAUGAGAUUAUGAUAAAAAUUAGUUUUAUCAACCAAACAAACAAUGAAAUAUUAUGAACUAAAACUGAAUA
rnacentral:lncRNA from 1 species